UAUCAUGAAAGAAAAGUCGUAACAAGGUCUCCGUUGGUGAACCAGCGGAGGGAGCAUUA
rnacentral:rRNA from 1 species